UAGGGAAUCUUCCGCAAUGGGCGAAAGCUUGACGGAGCAACGCCGCGUGAGUGAUGAAGGUCUUCGGAUCGUAAAACUCUGUUAUUAGGGAAGAACAAAUGUGUAAGUAACUAUGCACGUCUUGACGGUACCUAAUCAGAAAGCCACGGCUAACUACGUGCCAGCAGCCGCGGUAAUACGUAGGUGGCAAGCGUUAUCCGGAACUAUUGGGCGUAAAGCGCGCGUAGGCGGUUUUUUAAGUCUGAUGUGAAAGCCCACGGCUCAACCGUGGAGGGUCAUUGGAAACUGGAAAACUUGAGUGCAGAAGAGGAAAGUGGAAUUCCAUGUGUAGCGGUGAAAUGCGCAGAGAUAUGGAGGAACACCAGUGGCGAAGGCGACUUUCUGGUCUGUAACUGACGCUGAUGUGCGAAAGCGUGGUGAUCAAACAGG
rnacentral:rRNA from 1 species